UAAAAGUCGUAACAAGGUCUCCGUUGGUGAACCAGCGGAGGGAUCA
rnacentral:rRNA from 1 species